AUCGCUUCUCGGCCUUUUGGCUAAGAUCAAGUGUAGUAUCUGUUCUUAUCAGUUUAAUAAAUAUAGAAACAAAAGUCUUUAACAAUAUCUUAGAAAAUAACUUUU
rnacentral:snRNA from 1 species